GGUGCUCUUGAACUGCUUAUAGAUGGGCGCUGCUCAGAUGCCUUAAUCAAACACUUCGGCAGAUCUGUUUGUUGAAUAUACAAGCCCCCAUUAAUGAGCAAAAGCCCAUCUAUCAGCAGUUCAAGACCACC
rnacentral:pre_miRNA from 1 species